rnacentral:rRNA from 1 species
AGAGUUUGAUCCUGGCUCAGGAUGAACGCUGGCGGCGUGCUUAACACAUGCAAGUCGAACGAAGCCAAAAGGAAGCUUGCUUUCUUUGAAGCUUAGUGGCGGACGGGUGAGUAACGCGUGAGUAACCUGCCCUUCAGUGGGGAAUAACACAGAGAAAUCUGUGCUAAUACCGCAUAACGUCUUCUUGCCGCAUGACAGGAAGACCAAAGGAUUUAUUCGCUGAAGGAUGGACUCGCGUCCGAUUAGCUAGUUGGUGAGGUAACGGCCCACCAAGGCGACGAUCGGUAGCCGAACUGAGAGGUUGAUCGGCCACAUUGGGACUGAGACACGGCCCAGACUCCUACGGGAGGCAGCAGUGGGGAAUAUUGGGCAAUGGGCGAAAGCCUGACCCAGCAACGCCGCGUGAAGGAAGACGGUCUUCGGAUUGUAAACUUCUUUGAUUGGGGAAGAAACAAAUGACCUACCCAAAGAACAAGUCACGGCUAACUACGUGCC